rnacentral:misc_RNA from 1 species
CUUUCGGGCAUUGUUGGAAGCCUACGUUUGGGUGUUGUUGGAUGGAGGUCCUUCUCGUGCAUUUUCUGACUCAGAUGUUUCUGUGAUGGAAGAUGACUUCAAUAUGUUGAAGGAUUUCUUUAUAGCUGGUGGAGAAGGUCUUCCUCGCUCAUUAGUUGAGCAAGAAGCAAAAUUCAGUCAACAGAUACUUGGCUUAUUUUCCCUGCAGACUGAAACAGUUAUUAAAAUGUUGAUGAAUGCAAGUGAACAUAU